rnacentral:rRNA from 1 species
GACGAACGCUGGCGGCACGCUUAACACAUGCAAGUCGAACGGAGAACAUUGAGCUUGCUUAAUGUUCUUAGUGGCGGACGGGUGAGUAACACGUGAGUAACCUGCCUCUGAGAGUGGGAUAGCUUCUGGAAACGGAUGGUAAUACCGCAUAACAUCAUGGAUUCGCAUGUUUCUGUGAUCAAAGAUUUAUCGCUUAGAGAUGGACUCGCGUCUGAUUAGCUAGUUGGUAAGGUAACGGCUUACCAAGGCGACGAUCAGUAGCCGGACUGAGAGGUUGAUCGGCCACAUUGGGACUGAGACACGGCCCAGACUCCUACGGGAGGCAGCAGUGGGGAAUAUUGCACAAUGGGGGAAACCCUGAUGCAGCGAUGCCGCGUGGAGGAAGAAGGUUUUCGGAUUGUAAACUCCUGUUGAAGAGGACGAUAAUGACGG